GAGUUUGAUCAUGGCUCAGAUUGAACGCUGGCGGCAGGCCUAACACAUGCAAGUCGAACGGUAACAGGAAGCAGCUUGCUGCUUCGCUGACGAGUGGCGGACGGGUGAGUAAUGUCUGGGAAGCUGCCUGAUGGAGGGGGAUAACUACUGGAAACGGUAGCUAAUACCGCAUAAUGUCGCAAGACCAAAGAGGGGGACCUUCGGGCCUCUUGCCAUCGGAUGUGCCCAGAUGGGAUUAGCUUGUUGGUGGGGUAACGGCUCACCAAGGCGACGAUCCCUAGCUGGUCUGAGAGGAUGACCAGCCACACUGGAACUGAGACACGGUCCAGACUCCUACGGGAGGCAGCAGUGGGGAAUAUUGCACAAUGGGCGCAAGCCUGAUGCAGCCAUGCCGCGUGUAUGAAGAAGGCCUUCGGGUUGUAAAGUACUUUCAGCGGGGAGGAAGGGAGUAAAGUUAAUACCUUUGCUCAUUGACGUUACCCGCAGAAGAAGCACCGGCUAACUCCGUGCCAGCAGCCGCGGUAAUACGGAGGGUGCAAGCGUUAAUCGGAAUUACUGGGCGUAAAGCGCACGCAGGCGGUUUGUUAAGUCAGAUGUGAAAUCCCCGGGCUCAACCUGGGAACUGCAUCUGAUACUGGCAAGCUUGAGUCUCGUAGAGGGGGGUAGAAUUCCAGGUGUAGCGGUGAAAUGCGUAGAGAUCUGGAGGAAUACCGGUGGCGAAGGCGGCCCCCUGGACGAAGACUGACGCUCAGGUGCGAAAGCGUGGGGAGCAAACAGGAUUAGAUACCCUGGUAGUCCACGCCGUAAACGAUGUCGACUUGGAGGUUGUGCCCUUGAGGCGUGGCUUCCGGAGCUAACGCGUUAAGUCGACCGCCUGGGGAGUACAGCCGCAAGGUUAAAACUCAAAUGAAUUGACGGGGGCCCGCACAAGCGGUGGAGCAUGUGGUUUAAUUCGAUGCAACGCGAAGAACCUUACCUGGUCUUGACAUCCACGGAAGUUUUCAGAGAUGAGAAUGUGCCUUCGGGAACCGUGAGACAGGUGCUGCAUGGCUGUCGUCAGCUCGUGUUGUGAAAUGUUGGGUUAAGUCCCGCAACGAGCGCAACCCUUAUCCUUUGUUGCCAGCGGUCCGGCCGGGAACUCAAAGGAGACUGCCAGUGAUAAACUGGAGGAAGGUGGGGAUGACGUCAAGUCAUCAUGGCCCUUACGACCAGGGCUACACACGUGCUACAAUGGCGCAUACAAAGAGAAGCGACCUCGCGAGAGCAAGCGGACCUCAUAAAGUGCGUCGUAGUCCGGAUUGGAGUCUGCAACUCGACUCCAUGAAGUCGGAAUCGCUAGUAAUCGUGGAUCAGAAUGCCACGGUGAAUACGUUCCCGGGCCUUGUACACACCGCCCGUCACACCAUGGGAGUGGGUUGCAAAAGAAGUAGGUAGCUUAACCUUCGGGAGGGCGCUUACCACUUUGUGAUUCAUGACUGGGGUGAAGUCGAACAAGGUA
rnacentral:rRNA from 1 species